UUCCUGUAAGGGCAAUCGGACCCUUUCCGGUGAGGGAACCUCUCUCCAGACAUGAUCAAGAGAAACUGGCGAGGGACUGACAUGAUCUAGCUUACCUUGGGUCACCGAACGGAUUUGGCAUGUGACAUAAUUAUCCCAGCGAUCACUAAAACUGUAAAUUUGGAUGCAAUUAAGAGAGAAAACUCCACACAUUUAUGGAAAUUUAAGAUUUGCAGCUUGCUGGCUUGCUGAGUGGAAAAUGAUUCUUUCCCAGUUCUCCUUGGUUUCUUCCUUUCAUGAAUUGAUUAACACUGAGAGAUUAUGUUUUAAUUAUGUCGACUAGAGGUUUUAAAUGAUUCUAGGUUUCUGUGUCCAUUUGUUUUCCUAGGUUUGGGGAAUUUGCUACUGCAAUAUCGUUGUAUAGAUAUUCUUUGCUUUAGUGAGAAACUCAGCUCCUUCUACUCUGUGGUUCUUAGCUUUAGUCUAUUGUACACAUCACAGAGUUAAUGAAAGCUGUGGUCAUACUUGAUUUUUUCUUCAUUACUAUUGAAAUAAAGCAUAUCCUUGACCUUGUCUCCAAUCUCUAUUUUCAAGUCUGUUGGGGAUACAUUCCACUAUUGUUUGAUUGAAAUAUCCAUUUCCAACAUUUCUAUUACUUUGCUUCUUUUUUUUUUGUCCCCACCAAAAAUAAAUAUUUAUAGAAUUGUAAAUCAAAAUGAAACAUUUUUCUGUAUGUAUAAAAACAAAAGGAAACAAACAAAUAAAAAAAUCUGCAUAUUG
rnacentral:lncRNA from 1 species